GAUGAGCGCUGGCUACAGGCUUAACACAUGCAAGUCGAGGGGAAACGACGGGGAAGCUUGCUUCCCCGGGCGUCGACCGGCGCACGGGUGAGUAACGCGUAUCCAACCUGCCUCUGACUGAGGGAUAACCCGUCGAAAGUCGGCCUAAUACCUCAUGGCAUCGUCUGCGGGCAUCCAACGACGAUUAAAGAUUUCAUCGGUCAGAGAUGGGGAUGCGUCUGAUUAGCUUGUUGGCGGGGUAACGGCCCACCAAGGCGACGAUCAGUAGGGGUUCUGAGAGGAAGGUCCCCCACAUUGGAACUGAGACACGGUCCAAACUCCUACGGGAGGCAGCAGUGAGGAAUAUUGGUCAAUGGGCGAGAGCCUGAACCAGCCAAGUAGCGUGCAGGAUGACGGCCCUAUGGGUUGUAAACUGCUUUUAUGCGGGGAUAAAGUGAGGGACGUGUCCUUCAUUGCAGGUACCGCAUGAAUAAGGACCGGCUAAUUCCGUG
rnacentral:rRNA from 1 species